AUGUGCGUACAGAGAAGAUGGCUGGCUGGCUGGAUCCAGGGUUUUAAUGUUUCCAGGACAAGGGCAUGGGAACAACCAUCUCCUGGAAUGGCCCUUCCACAGGAAGAGAGGAGGAUGCAUGGCACAGAGGAAGGAUGGGACACCUGGAUUCAAAAUCUGCUUACACCAUCCACGGAGCCUGGGAUGUUGAAGAAUUAGUUUUUUCUCUUGGAACUUGCUUUCCUUACUUGUAAAAUAAAGUUAAUCCUGCAAACACUACAAGGCCAUUGUGAGGGUCAAAUGAGACCAGGCAUGGGAAAGUAUCUUGUAAACAGCAAAUUACGAAAAACAAAUACAAACAAAACAGAAAACGUAAAACAACAACAAAGGUCUUGGUUCUAAAGGACAUGAAACUUUCAUUUGACCCAAUUUAGAGAUCAUUCAUUCCUUCAACAAAUAAUAAUUGAAGCC
ensembl:lincRNA